AGAUUGAACGCUAGCGGGAUGCUUUACACAUGCAAGUCGAACGGCAGCGCGGACUUCGGUCUGGCGGCGAGUGGCGAACGGGUGAGUAAUAUAUCGGAACGUGCCCAGUAGCGGGGGAUAACUACGCGAAAGCGUGGCUAAUACCGCAUACGCCCGUACGGGGGAAAGGGGGGGAUCGGCAAGACCUCUCACUAUUGGAGCGGCCGAUAUCAGAUUAGCUAGUUGGUGAGGUAAAGGCUCACCAAGGCGACGAUCUGUAGCUUGGUUUGAGAGGACGACCAGCCACACUGGGACUGGAGACACGGCCCAGACCUCCGUACGGGAGGCGAGCGAGGUAGGGGUAAUUUUAGGAACUAAGUACGGGGGAAACCCUGAAGUCCAGCCC
rnacentral:rRNA from 1 species